AGUUUGGACCUCUCUCCUCCUCUUUCCCGUAUAAACCUCUCUCUUCCCUCUCGUUCAUCUCUCCUUCUCUUUUUCCCAUAGACAUCUCUCUACCUCUCGUUCGCAACCUUUCCUCUUCACAAUCUUGAACAAUCUGUGCAAGUUCUCUGGCAAAUACAAACUCGCAUCUCCAGUUUUUGCAAGUUUGCAUUCCAUUUGAGUACGUUUCUUAUUAGCAUUUUUUUUAUAAUAGCUCAUUUGAGUACGUCUCUCACUUCUCCAAGCCUCCACAUUUCCAGCUGCGGCUCCAAUGGGGGCCUGAAGCUCCAUGGCAGCUGUAUUCUCUUCUUUUAGGCUUUGGAAGAGUUCGUCCUGUUGCGAAUCAACCUUACCCUUCUGCAAGAGUCCAUGGGGGGCCUAAAGCUCCAGGGCAGCUGCAUUCACCUCAUUUGGUCUUUGAAAGAGCUCGUCCUGCUAUAAGUCAUUCUUACCCAUUUGCAGGAAUCCAUAGUGUAUAGAUGUCGCAAGUGAUCACUCAUCGUCGGAGUGUGACCAAUGAGCUUCCCGCAUUAUAAGCAUCUACUGCUCCAGGUCAAACACCGCAGAGGUCGAUGCGUUGAAGGAGGAAGUGACAACCCUAAAGGGUCAACUUGCGAUCCAGGGCCAGCAAAUGAGGGCCCAGGGCGAGGAGCCUAUGUUAGGCACGUGAGAGACCUUGUACGAGCCAUACAGAUGAUCGGCAUCCAAAUCUCGCUACCAGUACCUGAUCUUGCUCCACCUUCGACCUCUGAGCCACUUCACCUAGAAGACUACUUGUAAUUUUUUUUUUGUUCGAACAUCUUGUAUGUACAUUUUCAUAUAUUUUAUAAUAAAAUACUUUUCUUUGGUUAA